GAUCUGGCUCAGAUUGAACGCUGGCGGCAGGCCUAACACAUGCAAGUCGAACGGUAACAGAAAGCAGCUUGCUGCUUUGCUGACGAGUGGCGGACGGGUGAGUAAUGUCUGGGAAACUGCCCGAUGGAGGGGGAUAACUACUGGAAACGGUAGCUAAUACCGCAUAACGUCGCAAGACCAAAGAGGGGGACCUUCGGGCCUCUUGCCAUCGGAUGUGCCCAGAUGGGAUUAGCUAGUAGGUAGGGGG
rnacentral:rRNA from 1 species